rnacentral:rRNA from 1 species
UACGGAGGGUGCGAGCGUUGUCCGGAAUCAUUGGGCGUAAAGGGCGCGUAGGUGGCCCGGUCAGUUCGUGGUGAAAGCGCGGGGCUCAACUCCGCGUCGGCCAUGAAUACUGCUGGGCUGGAGCACUGUAGAGGCAGGCGGAAUUUCGGGUGUAGCGGUGGAAUGCGUAGAGAUCCGGAAGAACACCGGUGGCGAAGGCGGCCUGCUGGGCAGUGGCUGACACUGAGGCGCGACAGCGUGGGGAGCAAACAGG